rnacentral:rRNA from 1 species
UUGAGCCUACGGGGCGCAGCAGUAGGGAAUUUUCGUCAAUGGGCGCAAGCCUGAACGAGCAAUGCCGCGUGAACGAGGAAGGUCUUCGGAUCGUAAAGUUCUAUUGAAGGGGAAAAAGAGCGGAGAGAGGAAAUGAACUCCGAUUGAUAUUACCCUUCGGGGAAGUCACGGCUAACUACGUGCCAGCAGCCGCGGUAAUACGUAGGUGGCGAGCGUUAUCCGGAAUGAUUGGGCGUAAAGGGUGCGUAGGCGGCCUGCUAAGUCUGGAGUGAAAGGUACCGGCUCAACCGGUACAGGCUCUGGAA